rnacentral:ribozyme from 13 species
UUUUUUUAUUAAAUAUUGAUUUUUUUUUACUGAUUUUGUCGAUUUUGACUCAAAGAGAGGAAGAAGGGGAGAGGAAGAGAAGAGGAGAGACAACCAACGUGAACAGUAAAAUUUU